GUUUAGUUUCGUAAUGAAGAUGAUUCAUUCCUGCAGCUUCAAAAAUUUGUUUUGACAAUAUUUUACAUCUUUAUCGUGUUGGUGCAUCUAAACACUGUCGAGGCAAAAUGACAAUGGCUUACAGAUGCCAGGGGGAAUGGAUGCGUUGUCAAACAUCUUCAUCAGAUAAAUAAACGCAUAUUAUGCAAAA